GUGUUCUUCCAUCUGUUUAGUGCUCUUAUUAGAAAGAGAAGAACUCAGUCUUUUCCUUUCCUCAAUUUUUCAUGCUCUUAACAUCAAUUUUUUCUUGUUUCAUAAAUUUUGAUAUUUUAUCUUUUUCGAUAUUUUGAACAAACAUUUCCAUCAGUUCUUCGUCUUUUUUCAUUCUCUCUUUCUCUUGCUCUUUCCAAGCUUUUUCUUUUCUUUCAGCAGUUUCUAUUUUUAUGUAGUUCCUCAUGUCUGAUAUUCCAGGCUAUACACGCUUGAUAAAUUUGUCGUUCCUUAUCCGUCUGAUUUUUUCGCUCUUCAAUUUUCUUACGGUACAAAAUGUCAACAGCAUUACCCAUGGUAACCUUUCUAUCCAGUCCAUUUCCUUGUCAUUAUGAUUGGUAUGCAUUUGGUGUGUUCAUC
rnacentral:lncRNA from 1 species